rnacentral:misc_RNA from 1 species
AACUUUCGGUUUGAGAGCGAGGUAAUGGAAACAUGAACACUCCGGUUAUGGCGAGAGUUUUGCGGAGUACCGCGGGCUUUGCUCUCAGAAAUAAGACACGCGUAGCAUCCUUCGUAUCACAAAGAUGCCUUUCAACAUCACCUGUAUUACAAGAUGAUGGUGAAAAAAAAUCUUUUGCAACAAGGCAGGUUCAGUUUAUCAAGUCAAUUUUUGAUAAAUCAGACUUUGGACCAUAUGAAAUUCAAAAGGAAUCUCACUCGAGCCAGCUGUCAGAUAAAGAGAAUGUGUAUGAAAUCCAGUUUCAUGCUGUGAAGCCUGAAGAUAUGGAAGAAUAUUUAAAACAAUUCUCUAAAUUUCAAGAACUGAUGCAUGAAAAGAAAACAGGUGCUCAUUUGAUUGGCAGUUUCACAGUGGAAAUUGGAGAUCAAGAUGAAGCAAUUCAUAUUUGGGAAUACAAAGGAGGGUAUCCGGUUUUAAAUAAUGCGACGGAAAUCUACAGGACUGACCAGGAUUUUAUAAACUUUCGAACAAGCAGGAACAAAAUGCUUCGAUACAGAAAGAAUCAGAUUCUUCUUCCUUUUAAUUUCUGGCCAGCACCAGUACCAAGAGAAGGAAAAAAUAUCUAUGAAAUGAGAAGCUACACACUAAAGCCAGGAUCAAUGAUUGAGUGGUCAAAUUGCUGGUUAUAAGGAUCUACAGACCAGGAAGGAGACAAGAGAAAUGGCGUGGAGUAAGCCAGGAUGGGAUGAAUGCGUGGCUUAUACAGUACCUCUUAUACGCCAGAUGAAGUCAAGGAUUUUGAUACCCACUCCAUUCUCACCAGUACAAUAGAGCACAUCCUUAUGGUUACCACGGCAGUCAUAAAGAAACAGCUGGUACAUGAAUUACAGUGAUACAUACUUUAAACUGGAUAUAACAGGAGAAAAUCUUUAAGUAAAACUGGCAGUUAGAUGAGACUUAAAUAUUCUAUGCUCUAGUCAACUGCCUCAGUGCUUUUUGAAGGAAUCUAUGAAAUUGAUAUUUUGUUAUUCUUGUUUAUAUCUUUUAAUAGGCAUGGGUUGUGUUGUUCAGGUCUUUAUACAUGUAUACAUGUAGUGCAUGUACUGUAUCUGUUUGGGUGCAUAAUACUGUAAACCUGCAUAGAUUUCACUUAAAAAGAUUGAAUUUUUAGCUGGUCAUUUUCUUCUGUAAACAAUACUGAUUGAAUAUUCUGUAAUGAUGGACUGCAUUUCAAAUAUCAUAGAUAUGAAACCUAUCGUUUAAGAAUCCUUCAACAGCAAUAGAAAGUGUUUGACCUUGAGUUUGUGCCGAUGGCAACUUAUUCCUUUCCAUAUGUACAAACACCUUUUUCAGCUGGAGUGCGCUGUACUACUCAACAGAAAUAUUGUACAUGUAUUUGAUAAAUAGACUAUUUGUGCUGUUGCAGCAGUGUUAUUUUUGUGAUUUGAUAGACUAAAAAUAAAUUAUGACGUC